UGUGUGGAGGCCAGGAGGUGAGGAUGAAGGAGGCAGGCAGGUGGAGAGCGAAGCCCAUGGGACCUGAAGGUGCUUGGGUUCAAAUCCCACUCCUGCCAGCUGUGGACUCUGGGUAAAUGGUCUCCUUUAUACAAGCCUCAGUUUGCUCCUCUGUAAAAGGGGGCGAAUAGCACAUAGCUUGUGAGUUUCUUGUAAAAACAAAAAAGGCAGCAACAUGUUUCUUGGCGUGGGCUGGCGUGUUUCUUGGUGUGGGCUGUGUGGACUGGGAUCAGCUGGAAUGCUGCAGGGGAGGCCUAGGAGUUCCAGCCCCCGGGUAAUUCUGGCUGGCUGUGUGACCCUGGUCAAAGCCCUCAACCUCUCUGAGCCCUGCUCAAAGAUAACAGUUCUGCCCAUUUCAUGAGGGUGAGAUGGAGAUAACAGUUCUGCCCAUUUCAUGCGGGUGCAGGUGAGGACUCAGGACAAUAGGCGCCUCGUGGGCCUGGAUAUCAAGACCUGGUUCUCUCCCUCCACGCGGGACAUCGGUCAGGCUGCCCACACCAAGCUGGGUCCCUCCUCUCUAGGCUUGCUUCUUCCUUUCUCCUCAGCAGUAUCUUCCCCGUGAGCCUAUGUGAAUACAGCCAAGCUCGGUGGACUGGAGCAACGGGCCGGGAUGAGCUUGGGAUGGACGUCAUGGAUCAUGCUUGUCAGUGACGCCAUUCCACCCCCUGGGUAUGACUCAGCCGUUAGGAUAUGAUUUCCCAUCCCAUGGAGGGUCCUUGUACCCUCCCAGUGGGACUAUCCUGACCCCCCUAUCCCACCACUGGAUGAAAAGACCUUUCAGCUGGCCCCUACCCCAGUGCUCAGGGGGGACUGUAGUCGUGAUGAAGGGCAAUGAUUUGUGGAACCUCCAGUCGCCUGUGUCAUCAGGGCUGGUGGCACAUCGGAGAGGAAGUCAUCCAGAGCUCUGUCUGCAUGCAUGUGGCCCAUUUGUCCUCAUGAAAUAUUUCAUAGUAAUAACCCCAAUCUGGCUCCGCCACCCACAGUGUAUCUGACCUGUGAUGUCACUGCAUCUCCCCUUCAGUUUCCCAGGCUGUAGAACAAGUGCCGGAAGAGAUCCAUUUUUUUCCUUCACUGAUUCCCGCAUUUGGUCAUUCCACAAACGCGUGUUGAAGCACCUGCCAGGUGUACCUGCCGGGAAACCCAGCUGUGGACGCCUGGUGAGGUCCUGGCCCUCACAGCUGGGCCAUUCCAGUGGGGGGACAGUCAACAGACAAGCAGGAAACAUAAUGACAGCUCCUCCCUGAAGGGCGCCUAGGGAUGAAAGGAGAUGAGCUUUGUCUGGUGCCGGCACCUGGAACGUGCUCAAAAUAUGUUAACAAGGACGAGAAGGACUCAACCCUGGAGAGAUUUGCCUAUUCUGGACAUUUCACGUCAACAGAAUCAUGCAAUAUGUGACCUUUCGUGUUUGGCUAUUUUCACUGCCCAUGAUGUUUUUAAGACUCAUCCACGUCAUAGCAUGAAGCCGACUUCAUUCCUUUUAUGACUGAAUAAUAUUCCAU